UACGUAGGGGGCAAGCGUUGUUCGGAAUUACUGGGCGUAAAGCGCGCGUAGGCGGUGCGGUAAGUCAGGUGUGAAAGCCCCGGGCUCAACUCGGGAACUGCACUUGAUACUGCCGGACUAGAGUACAGAAGAGGCGAUUGGAAUUCCCAGUGUAGCGGUGAAAUGCGUAGAUAUUGGGAGGAACACCAGAGGCGAAGGCGGAUCGCUGGGCUGAUACUGACGCUGAGGCGCGAAAGCCAGGGGAGCAAACGGG
rnacentral:misc_RNA from 1 species